CUCACGAUCCCUUAGUCAUCUUCUAGAUGCUGGAGACUUUAGAGGCGCCAGAGUGAAAGCCGUCUCUGUUCUGCAGUGUGUAUGUGUGUGUGUGUGUGUGUGUGUGUGCACGUGUGCAUGUGCUUGUGGGUGCUUGUGUGUGCAUGCAUGUGUAUGUGUGUGCACGAAUGUGUGUGUGCGUGCAUGUGUGUGUGUGCAUGCACAUGUGUGUGUGUAGAAAACAGCUGGCAAGGUAGGCCUGAGAUGGCCAUCCUUAGAAGGACCGGCUUGCGUGGCAGGCAUCUGGGCGCUGGGACUUCAGGAGCGUUCCCACCACCUAGUGACUGACAUAGUUUUUCAUCGCCGGCAUUCUUUGACGACCACUACUGCCUCUAGGUUAGCGGUUACUAUAGAAGGCUCUAGAGGGAAACUGCCUGGGUUCGAAUACUGGUUCCGCCGCUUACUUUCAUCGUAGGUAUCUAGGACUCUGGGUGACCUGGGUGUCCAUGGAGCCUGUGGAGGAAAGAGACAGAAACUGGAGAAAAAGCCCAGGAGGCAGACUGAUAUUACAGCCAUGGGAGAAAGUCCAGAAACGGAAUCCAAGAA